rnacentral:rRNA from 1 species
GACGAACGCUGGCGGCGUGCUUAACACAUGCGAGUCGAACGCUGAAGCUUGGUGCUUGCACUGGGUGGAUGGGUGGCGAACGGGUGAGUAAUACGUGAGUAACCUGCCCUUGACUCUGGGAUAAGCCUGGGAAACUGGGUCUAAUACUGGAUACGACAUGUCACCGCAUGGUGGUGUGUGGAAAGGGUUUUACUGGUUUUGGAUGGGCUCACGGCCUAUCAGCUUGUUGGUGGGGUAAUGGCUCACCAAGGCGACGACGGGUAGCCGGCCUGAGAGGGUGACCGGCCACACUGGGACUGAGACACGGCCCAGACUCCUACGGGAGGCAGCAGUGGGGAAUAUUGCACAAUGGGCGGAAGCCUGAUGCAGCGACGCCGCGUGAGGGAUGACGGCCUUCGGGUUGUAAACCUCUUUCAGCACGGAAGAAGCGAAAGUGACGGUACGUGCAGAAGAAGCGCCGGCUAACUACGUG